rnacentral:tRNA from 1 species
GCCUACCUGGCUCAGUUGGUACAGCAUGUGACUCCUGACCUUGAGGUUAUGGGUUUGAGCCCCAUGUUGGGUA